rnacentral:miRNA from 1 species
AUCCGGGAUUAUUAAGAACAUGA